AUUGAACGCUGGCGGCAGGCCUAACACAUGCAAGUCGAGCGGAUGAAGGGAGCUUGCUCCUGGAUUCAGCGGCGGACGGGUGAGUAAUGCCUAGGAAUCUGCCUGGUAGUGGGGGAUAACGUCCGGAAACGGGCGCUAAUACCGCAUACGUCCUGAGGGAGAAAGUGGGGGAUCUUCGGACCUCACGCUCUCAGAUGAGCCUAGGUCGGAUUAGCUAGUUGGUGGGGUAAAGGCCUACCAAGGCGACGAUCCGUAACUGGUCUGAGAGGAUGAUCAGUCACACUGGAACUGGGACACGGUCCAGACUCCUACGGGAGGCAGCAGUGGGGAAUAUUGGACAAUGGGCGAAAGCCUGAUCCAGACAUGCCGAGUGUGUGAAGAAGGUCUUCGGAUUGUAAAGCACAUUAAGUUGGGAGGAAGGGCAGUAAGUUAAUACCUUGCUGUUUUGACGUUACCAACAGAAUAAGCACCGGCUAACUUCGUG
rnacentral:rRNA from 1 species